UUUUUUUUUUUUUUUUUUUUUUGUUUUGUUAGGGCUGCAGCAGAUGGAGGGUUCUAGAUCCUGGGUCGAAUCAGAGCUGCAGCUGCCGGUCUACACCACAGCCACAGUCACACGGGAUCCAGCCACAUCUGCGACCUACACCACCACUCACAGCAACGCUGGAUCCUUCACCUGAGGAGCGAGACCAAGGAUCGAACCCACGUCCUCAUGGAUCCUAUUUGGAUUCAUUUCCCGCUGAGCCAUGAUGGGAAUUCCCACAUUCCCUUUUAGGAACUGCAUUUUCACUUUGUCAAUGUGUAUACAUGCAUAACGUCCUGCCCUAAACGUGGAGGUAAUUACAUGAACAGUUAUGACAUGAAAGUCUUGCUUCUUUGCCAAGACCUAUUUUUUUUUAAUCUUUGGGAUUGCAGAAAUAUCAAAUAAGAUAUGCAAUAUCCCUUUAUCCCUCGCUAUUUUAGGGCCGCACCCUCGGCAUAUGGAGGUGCCGCCCUCGAAAGACAAACUCAAUACCGUCAUCACCACGGUGACCAGAAGCGAGGGCUCUGACCAAACACAAGGCAACCCCUGCGGCAGCAGAAUCUGUCACCCAAAUGAAAGGCGAACUCACCUACCUGCUCAAGGAUGAGCUAGAUCACAGGCUUCGGCAGUAAAACCUCCCCCAACAAGAACUACUCAUGUGCAAGGAGACAGGUGAUCCUCUGACUCACUGCUUUUCUUUUUUCCCGGUAAGUUUUUUUCUGAAGGUGUCAGGAUAGAUAAAUGGCACCUAUUGCCCAGGCAGAAUUUCCAAAAGAGGAAAACUCUAGAGAGAGUUUGCCUUGGUGACGGCCUUUCCGAUUUGGGGAGGGUCCUUCCAAGGCCAGCGUUCUCCAUCUCUGCCCUCUGCCGAAUGGUUAUCUUUGGAAUCGACCCCAAACAGAAGGUGGCCGAGGACCCACCUCUCGCCCCUCCCUGCGAGCCCCCUGGCGUGAGCUCCGGCUCUGCCUCAGCACACAGAGCCCCACGUGUCUGCCCCCCCCCAGCGCCCCAAGAUGCCGAUCCCAGGCGCCCUCGGCCUCACAAAGGCUUUCUUUCAGCAGAGCCUGAGCCCCGCCAGCCUCACCCAGCCUCAGAUCUACACCGUCCUUUGUGAGGUGAAGGGGCUCCUGAGGUAACGAUCCCGCCGGGUAAAAUCAUCCACCGAAUUAAAGGUCAAGCGCUCCCGAGAACCCUGGGGGGGGGGGCUGCCCCCUGGGGGGCGCUGCCCGCCAAACCUCCCUGACUCGCAGCCUGUCAUCACCGAUCCGCCCAAACAAACCACCUGGGGCACCUGCACACGAGCCGGGCUCAGGAGGCGAGGGUGUGCAGGAAGUCAUGCACGGGAACCCGGACGGUGGCAGACGGCUUGCCCGCUUUCUAUUACCUGCUCAAAAGCCCUGUGGGACUCUGCUCGGGGGACGUGGGAUAAAGCAGUGUGCAAGGUGCCAGAAGUGGAGCUUCUGCUCAGAAGCGCAAUGAACCAGUGGGCGGGCACCUCGGACGCCCAGGGUCCAGCCUGGACAGCCCUCCUGGACUCACUGCGACGGGACGGGUCAAGCAGGGGUUGGGGAGGGUGCUGGAGGCGCCUGGCUGGAGAUGAAAGGCUGGAAGGAGCACCCAGCGGUGUCUGACAGGGAGCUCCCACGUGGGGACAAGGCUGACGCACAGGGCGGGCAGGAACCGCCCACAAGAAGAAUCUCCCGUGCUCCGGUCCACCCCCACGCCUUCGCUCCAUCCGCGGUCAGGGCGGAUGAGGCGCAUCCGACGGGGCGAGUCUUGGGGACGCUGGGGUGGCUUGAACGCAGGAGCCGGGGGACAACUUCAAAAGCACCAGGUACAGAGGCAAGAAUGUACGGUGGAGAAAAGACAGCCCCUUCCAUACAGGGUGCCGGGAAAACUGGACGGCCACUGUCCACGAAAGAAAUGAGAACCCUUCCUAACACCAGACACGAAAAUAAACUCCCAAUGGAUGAAGACCUACAUAUAAGACCAGAUACUAUAAAACUCUUAGAGGAGAAACACGGGCCAAACACAAAGACAGCAACAUCUUCUCAGAUCCACCUCUUAAGAGUAAUGACAAUAGAAACAAAAAUAAACAAAUGGACUUCGUUAAACGUUGCUGCACAGCAGAGGAAACCCUAAACAACACGAAAAGACAACCCACAGAAUGGGAGAAAAUCUUUGCAAAGGAAUCGACUGGACAAGGGAUUCAUCUCCACAAUUUAUAAGCACCUCCUCCUGCUCCAUACCAAAAAAACAAACAACCCCAUCAAAAAACGGACAGAAGAUCUAAAGAGAUGAUUCUCCAAAGAAGACAUACGGAUGGCCAAAAAACACAUGAAAAGAUGUUCAACAUCACUCAUGAUUAGGACAAUGCAAAUCAAAACCACGAUGAGGUACCACCUUACACCAGCCAGAAUGGCCAUCAUCCAAAAGUCCACAAACAAUAAGUGCUAGAGAGGGUGUGGAGAGAAAAGAACCCUAUUUCACUGUUGGUAGGAUUGUAAAUUGGUGCGACCACUGUGGAAAACAGUAUGGAGAUGCCUCAGAAAACUAAAACUAGAACUCCCAUUUGAUCCAGCAACCCCACUCCUGGGCAUCUAUCCAGAGAAAACCAUGACUCACAAAGACACAUGUACUCUGAUGUUCAUUGCAGCAGUAUCUGCAAUAGCCAAGACAUGGAAACCACCUAAAUAAAUGUCCAUCGACAGACGAGUGGAUCAAGAAGAUGUGGUCCAUAGACACAAUGGAAUAUUAGUCAGCCAUGAAAAGGAAAGAAAUAACAGCACUGGUAGCCACAUGGAUGGACCUGGAAAUUAUCAUGCUAAGUAAAGUCAGUCAGACAGUGAGACACCAAAACCAAAUGCUAUCACUGACAUGUAGAAUCUGAAAAAAGGACCCAGGGAACUUCUUUGCAGAACAGAUACAGACUCACAGACUUUGAAAAACUUAUGGUUUCCAAAGGAGAGAGGUUGGGGGGUGGGGGGAUGCACUGGGGGUGUCUGAUGGAAAUGCUGUAAAAUGUGGUUGUGAUGACUGCUGUACACCAAUAAAUGUAAUAAAAUGCAUUAAGUAAUUUAAAAAAUAAAGGAACUGCAUGAGGGGAAAAAACCCAAAAAGCAAAAACAAAAGCACCAGGUGUCUGUUCAUGCCCUCUGUCCUAUAAGAACGUAAGCCAGGUACCCAAGGGACUUCCGCCUCUGUGCCUUAAGGAUGGAGCAGCCCAUGUGGCAUCCUGACCCCCCAACCCCGCACAGAACUGAGAUCCCACCUGUGAAGUGGGGGGAAGGGGACGCUCCUGGGAUUGGUGUGGCAGAAGCCUCCAGAGUGUCGGUUUUAUCAUUCCGGCAAGGGUCGCCUGGGCAAAAAGAACCUGCCUGUUUACGUAAGAACAUACCUGUGUCGUCAAGUUAGUCAACUUGCUCAAGACUCCUUGAGGACAAUCCUCCCUCUGUCACCUUCAUCUCCCUCCUCCACGCGCCUGCGUGUUGGCUUCUGGGAUCCCAUGUGGGCAUGGCCACCCGCCCAACAUGCCUGCCCAGCCUGCUGUCCCCUGGGGUCAGAGCUGCGUGUCUCAAGGUUCCUGGGGUCAAAGCUGCGUGUCUCGAGCUUUGUCACUUCACCUCGGAGCAAUCCUGUCUGCUGUGACAUCAGAACCAGUUCUGCUGGACCAGCACAGGGGAGGGACCGGGGAAGGGACCAUGAGAGGGGGACACAGGUCCAGCCCCACAGGAGAGGGCACAUCCAAGAGAGCCUCAAUUAACUCAUCUGUCCACCCCAGCGUGCGUGCAUGCACACACACACAUAGAUACACACACCCCUCCAGCCCCGUCCAUCCGCUGGUCCCUGGAUCCAGCUCUUCUCCUAGAAACCAACGGACAAGCUUUUUAUCGUCACCGUGGCUUCUCCCUUUACAGACAGCCAUGCUGCCGCAUCAUCAAGGCCAGGCUGGGAGCAGCUGUCCAGCCACCACGAUCUCCCAAGAGCCUUCAUGACCCAGAAGAGGCAUUCACAGUCCCUUAGAAGAAGCAGGUGGCACACAGGAUAAGAUGUCCUGGUCCUCCUCCCCAGAACGUGGGGACACUUUUGUUUACAGGGCACAGGGCGAGCUGGGUUUCUGGGGCUCAUUACUGAUGCUCAUCAGUUCAUCCUUAAACAGGUGGAAGUGCAAGAGGAUUCUGGGAGUCCAGUGGAAUCACCAGGAUCCUUAGAAGAGUAAGAAAGAGACAGGAGAUGGAGAAACAGCAGCAUGAGAGCAACACGGCCCAGAGUUCCCACUGUGCCUCCAUGGGACGGGUGGCGUUGGGGCAGCGUCAGAUGCAGGUUGGAUCCCCCGCCUGGCAUGGUGGGUUAAAGAUCCAGCACCGUGGCAGCUGAAGCUCAGAUCUGAUUCCUGGCCCAGGAACUUCCAUGUGCUGUGCAGUGGCCAAAAAAAAAAAAAAAAAAAAGAAGGAAAGAGAAAAAAAGGAAAAGGAAAGAGAAAAAAAGGAAAAGGAAAGGAAAAAAAAAAAGAAGGAUACGAUUCAACAGUGCCCUCUUCCUUGACAAGCCCAGGCAUUCGGGCGGCUUCCAGAAGCUGGAAAAGGCCAGAAAACAGAUUCUGUCCUGGAGCCUCCCAAAGGCGGAAGGUCCUGCCCGCACCUGGAGUUUUCACCGCGUGACACCUGCUUUUCAGAUUCCUAACCCUGGGAACUGCAGGCUGAUGAAUGCACGCUGUUUUACGCCACUGAGGGUGGGCUAAUGUGUAAUGGGAGUCCCUGCUCAAAUGCACGACCUCCACCAGCUCCUCGCAAUGUGUGCCUCGUGUUCUGAGCCUGUCUCGUGCGCAGGCACCAUGCAAAUUCCUUCCAGGCGGUUUGGGUGGCGUCACAAGGAGGCACUCUGUGCAUGAGGUGUGGACGCACCAGGUCGGCUGCAAGGAGCAAGCGCCAACUCCAUGCAAAGACCAGCGCCAUCCGGCCCUAAAGAUGAGAUGAGCCUGUGAUUGGAAAAGAUGACCAUGAUGGGGGUGGGGGUGCGGGUGGGGGGAGGGUGAUGCUUGUCUUGGUUCUGAUCAGCCCAGUCUACCUGGAGUGAUGGCCAACUAUGCAUCAUGGGAAACUCCAAAGGCACUGCGGUACCAUGUGAUGCAUUAACAGGUUCACGGGAUUAUGGGCUGGACAGUGACCCCUCACCAAAGAAUUUCAUGUUGAAAUCUUAACCCCCAGGACCUCAGGAUGGGGCUAUGAUAGGAGACGGGUCUUUCAAGUGGAGAUGAGAUACAUGAGGUCACGAGGGGGGUCCUGAUGCCCCAGGACGGGGGUCCUUAGAAGAAGAGGAGGUCAGGACACAGACACGCACAGAGGGACGGCCCUGUGAGGGCACAGGGAGGAGACAGCCAUUGACACGCCAAGGAGAGAGGCCUCGGGAGGGACCCGCCCUGCCCAUCCCAGGGGCUGAGACUCCAGCCUCUAGGAUGGGGAAAGAAUGUCUGUUGUUUAAGCUCCCAGGUCUGUGGUACAUGGCUUCUCCAAGCAAACUCCUGCAACAGAGUCCAUCCAGGGAGUUCCUGUUGUAUCACAGUGGAAACAAAUCCGACUAGAAACCAGGAGGAUGCAGGUUCGAUCCCCGGCCUCGCUCAGUGGGUUAAGGACCCAACAUUGCCGUGCGCUGUGGUGUAGGUCGCAGACGCGGGUCAGAUCCCGAGUGGCUGCGGCUGUGGCGCAGGCCCACAGCUGUAGGUCGAUUCGACCCCUAGCCUGGGCACCUCCAUGUGCCGCAGGUGCUGCCCUAAAACAACAAAGAAAGGAAGUGAAGAUGGGGAUGAUGGCAGAGGCAUGAGGAUAAAGACAGGGAGAUGCGGGCACGUGGCCACCGGCGAGGAGAGGUGCUGAUGAAGGCUGUGGUGAUGAGGCUG
rnacentral:lncRNA from 1 species